GUGGAGAAUCUUGCACAAUGGGCGCAAGCCUGAUGCAGCCAUGCCGCGUGCGGGAAGAAGGCCUUCGGGUCGUAAACCGCUUUCAGCAGGGACGAAGCGAGAGUGACGGUACCUGCAGAAGAAGGACCGGCCAACUACGUGCCAGCAGCCGCGGUAAUACGUAGGGUCCGAGCGUUGUCCGGAAUCAUUGGGCGUAAAGCGCAUGUAGGCGGCCCUUUAAGUCGGAUGUGAAAUCCCAGGGCUCAACCCUGGAACUGCAUCCGAUACUGGAGGGCUUGAGGAAGGUAGAGGAGAGUGGAAUUCCCGGUGUAGCGGUGGAAUGCGCAGAUAUCGGGAGGAACACCAGCGGCGAAGGCGGCUCUCUGGGCCUCUCCUGACGCUGAGAUGCGAAAGCGUGGGUAGCGAACAGGAUUAGAUACCCUGGUAGUCC
rnacentral:rRNA from 1 species